UUUUUUUUUUUGCAUUUCUUGUCUCUUCUUCUCUAGCAAUCUCUCGUCUCCUCCUCUCUCACUAUCUCUUCAAUCCUCAUCUCACGAUCUCUCAAACUUGCUGUCUGUCGUCACGGAUUUAAGCUCACCACCUCUGCUCAAGUCUGGAAACCAUGACCCCUCGCCUCCUCCCCUUGAUCUGGAAUAAUGAUGACAUAAAGGAGGUAAUGAUGAUCCAGAGACAGAGGCGGCGGCCGACGUACAAAGAGGUUGAAGACGGCGGGGAGUUACGAAGACGACGGGCGAUGCACAAAAAGAGGCCUACGAAGUCAUAAUGGAAGAGGAAGGGUAAGCUAGCUGUAGUGAUGGAGGUAGAUUCAAGCAAGAAGAGAAGAGAGGCGGGCAAGAGAAGAAGAAGAAGAGAGGCGGAGAAAGAACGUAGACUAGGUUUUAGUUUUAGGUUUAGCUUUUCAAUUUUUCUUUAAAAAAUUGGUUUAGUUUAGUUUACUUUCAUGUAUCGGUAUAAAAGAAUUGAUAUAUAAAAUUUUAAAUUUUUUUUCUUA